GUGGAUGUAGCUUAGUGGUAAAGCACUUGCCUAGCAUGCAUGAAGCCUUGAAUCCUAUCCUCA
rnacentral:tRNA from 1 species